rnacentral:tRNA from 1 species
CUCGAAGUUCUCAUAAUAGGUCUUUGUAGUAUAGCAAUUACCUUGGUCUUGUAAGCCAAAAACGGAGAAU